UAGAUGGAUCCAUUCAAAAAUAACGAUGUUCGUCCUCCAUUAAGAGAACUAUCUAACAAUACCCUUGAAGGAGGACGUGCUAAUGCAAUGCAACGUAAGAGGGAAAGAGAAAGAGCACGAUAUGCAACAAUGAGUGAUGAAAAA